rnacentral:rRNA from 1 species
UUGGAGGGCAAGUCUGGUGCCAGCAGCCGCGGUAAUUCCAGCUCCAAUAGCGUAUAUUAAAGUUGUUGCAGUUAAAAAGCUCGUAGUUGAAUUUUGGAUUCUAUCAAUCGGUCCAUCUUUUAGAUGAGUACUGGUUGUGUGGGGUCUAUCCGCCUGGUGAUACGUAAUGUUCUUUAUUGAAUGUUGCGGGUAGUCAGGACCUUUACCUUGAAAAAAUUAGAGUGUUUAAAGCAGGCUUAUGCCGGAAUACAUUAGCAUGGAAUAAUAGAAUAGGACGAAGUUGUUUUAUUUUGUUGGUUUCUAGGACAACCGUAAUGAUUAAUAGGGAUAGUUGGGGGCAUUAGUAUUCAAUUGUCAGAGGUGAAAUUCUUGGAUUUAUUGAAGACUAACUACUGCGAAAGCAUUUGCCAAGGAUGUUUUCAUUAAUCAAGAACGAAAGUUAGGGGAUCGAAGACGAUCAGAUACCGUCGUAGUCUUAACCAUAAACUAUGCCGACUAGGGAUCGGGCGAUGUUGUUUCCAUGACUCGCUCGGCACCUUAUGGGAAACCAAAGUGUUUGGGUUC